rnacentral:rRNA from 1 species
UGAUGCAGCCAUGCCGCGUGUGUGAAGAAGGCCUUCGGGUGUAAAGCACUUUCAGUAGGGAGGAAGGUAGUGUAGUUAACACCUGCACUAUUUGACGUUACCUACAGAAGAAGCACCGGCUAACUCCGUGCCAGCAGCCGCGGUAAUACGGAGGGUGCGAGCGUUAAUCGGAAUUACUGGGCGUAAAGCGCAUGCAGGCGGCCUGUUAAGUCAGAUGUGAAAGCCCGGGGCUUAACCUCGGAAUUGCAUUUGAAACUGGCAGGCUAGAGUCUUGUAGAGGGGGUAGAAUUUCAGGUGUAGCGGUGAAAAUGCGUAGAGAUCUGAAGGAAUACCAGUGGCGAAGGCGGCCCCCCUCGGACAAAGACUGACGCUCAGAUGCGAAAGCGUGGGGAGCAAACAGGUUUAGUAUACCCUCGGUAGG